rnacentral:rRNA from 1 species
GACGAACGCUGGCGGCGUGCUUAACACAUGCAAGUCGAACGAUGAACCCGGAGCUUGCUCUGGGGGAUUAGUGGCGAACGGGUGAGUAACACGUGAGUAACCUGCCCUGGACUCUGGGAUAAGCGUUGGAAACGACGUCUAAUACCGGAUAGGACCUUGGAUCGCAUGUUCUGGGGUGGAAAGUUUUUUCGGUCUGGGAUGGACUCGCGGCCUAUCAGCUUGUUGGUGAGGUAAUGGCUCACCAAGGCGUCGACGGGUAGCCGGCCUGAGAGGGUGACCGGCCACACUGGGACUGAGACACGGGCCAGACUACUACGGGAGGCAGCAGUGGGGAAUAUUGCACAAUGGGCGAAAGCCUGAGGCAGCAACGCCGCGUGCGGGAUGAUGGCCUUCGGGUUGUAAACCGAUUUUAGUAGGGAAGAAGGGCUUCGGCUUGACGGUACCUGCAGAAAAAGGACCGGCUAACUACGUG